UAAUAUUGUCUCAAUAGCGAGCAGCCGGGCUUAGUAACUUGAGCCUGUAACUCAAGUGAGGGCUAUAGGAUGGUUGAAGGGUUGGUUUGGUCCAGAUGGUUGGGCUAGUUUGGUUUAAUGCAUGGCCUGCCCAUUCAAGUGAGGAGUUUAACCAUGGGUUCUGAGCGAAGGCUCAGAGCUCUCGGUCACUAUAGUGGAGGGUACUGCGCUAGGCUGGUUUCACAGAGCAGCGACCACUUCCCUCUCCUUUCGGUGGAAGGAUUACAGGCCGGUAAUCAGCUACUCCCAUCAAAUAAACCUGAUGGGCCUCCCAAUUCAACAACCAUCUUUUUCCCUAAUCAUGUCUAUUUUUUGUUUUGGGAAAGUAAACUAUCUAUUUCCUUUAAUGUGAUGUCUAUUUUUUGUUUGGGUAAUUUAUUUAAUAUGCUAAUUAAUUAAAUUAUUUAGUUAUAAAAAGCGGUUCACUAAUUAUUAUGUAAACUUGGGCAUGUAUGACAUUAAUUAUGAGCCAAUGGAAUGAAAGGAGUGAAAUCCAAAAAAGUAGGAGCAAAGUAAGGUCCAAGUUGCUUAUUUUUAUUUACGAAAGCUUAAGCUAAUUUAAUCUCAACUUUAUUACUCAGUCCAUAAUAGCAGCCCAAACUCUUGAUACUAAUUGUGUACUUAUGACUAGACUUGGCAAUAUAGUUGGUUAACUAUCAGGUCAACCCAUAUUAAUUGGUAUCAAAUGGGUUGGUUAACUACUUUUAUGGGUUAAUUACAUAUUUUAGUACAUUUUUAGAAAUAAUUACAAUAAUAGUGCAUCCAUAAAAUAAUUACAAAAGUAAUACACUUUUCCAUAAUUAUUUAUAAUAUUAGCAAUUAGGAUUCCUUAAUUUAGGAAAUUAGUAUGCAAUUAGGAUUCCUUAAUUUAGAGGAUUAAUAUAGAUUUACUUUCUCUCUCCACUUGUUUUCGUUUCUUUAAUUCAAAGACUGUAACAUUCAAACUCUCCAUCACUGGUGCAGUUAUGUUAAGGUUGUGCGCCAUGGACACAGUCAAAGCUUUCUAUCCUUUUUCUCACAAAGGCCCCCAUUGAGUAUUCUCUAUAGCAGUUCUUUGUCACUGAAAACCAUGGCGGCCUCUCGACAUCUUCAAUCUGGAAAUAUGAGUUGCCCCAUCCAUAGUUGUCACCCCUUUUUGCCUUUUGAGGCAAAGUGAACUCUUCAAAUUGUUGAUAGUGGUGGAGAAUACUUUUGAAGUAGUUUUUCAUACUAUACUACUACAGCGGAGGCCUGUAGAUUUAGUGGAAAAGCACCAGUAUACAGAGAGAGAAAGUGACAGUGAUGUGAAGGCUGUGCCAGUAGAAUCGGAUGACGAUGGUGGGAGAUCUGUUGGGGAAUUAUUGGGAACGAAUCAGGUUGAAGUGGACAAGAAAGAGGAUGAUAGAUUAAAUAAUGGUGAGGUUUAAAUAAUGGUGGACGAGAAAGAGGAACGAAUCAGGUUGAAGUGGACAAGAAAGAGGAUGAUUAAGUGUGUUAGCUCUUUAAACUUUGACACAAUUGUUCUGUUUCUGAAAAGUGGUAUUACCUACAGUUUUUUCAUAGUGCAGUUGGUAGCCAAUCAUUCAUACCAAGGUAACCAAUUCAGUGUUAUUAAGUUACAAAUUUAUUUUGAAUAUGAUGUAGUUGGUAGCCAAAUCUUCAUGCAGUGGGUAGCCAAACCUUCAUACCAAGGUAACCAAUUCAGUUUUAUUAAGUUACCAAUUUAUUUUGAAUAUUAUGCAGUUGGUUGCCAAACUUUCAGACCAAGGUAACCAAUUCAUACUAUAGGUGUGGAGGUAGAUUGGUUACCUUGGUAUAAAGGUUUAGUUACCUUGGUAUAAAAAUUUGGUUACCUUUUUAAGAAAGUUUGGUUAUCAACAUUACAUUACACAUCACUCUCUUAUCUCUCUCUUUUCUAUGCAAUGUUCUUAUUUUCUUUUGGACAUGAAAUUGGAAUUGAAAUUUUCGGACAUGAAUAAAUUGUGAAAAAUCAAAUAUUCACCUCCUUUCUACAUCUCAUCGACCAUUUUGUGGCUCUGUCUCACCGGCGAAGGGGAGGAGGAAGAUGACCGGCGAAGGGGAAGAGGAAGAUGAUGUUGCCAAACUUUGAAUAUUUGAAUUUGAAUUUGUUUUUGUUGUUAGAUCUAAGAUAUUUAAAUUUGAAUUAUUAAUUAUGACAGUUAUUUCUCCUUGAUUUUAGGUUUCUUUAUUAUUGUGAAUUGAAUCCUAUACUAAUUCCCUAAAUUAAGGAAUCCUAAUUGCACUUAUAUUAUAAAUAAAUAUGAAAAAAUGUAUUAUUUUUGUAAUUAUUUUGUGCAUGCACUAAUAGUGUAAUUACUUACUAAAUAUUGUAUAUUAUUGUAAAGGACCCAAAUUAUUUUUUGGCAAAAAUUGACCCACAUAUUGGUCUCUUUGGAUCCAAAUGUCAUAGAGAAAUAAAGUAAGACAAAAUAAAAAAUAAAAAAAAUCCUUAUGUUGACAUACAAAUUUGAUAAAUAAGAACAGAAAAUUGUAUAUUCUCUCACUUCCCAUAAAAAUAUCUCCUCUUCAAAAUUAAAACUCCCUCAAACAGGUUUUGAUUAUAACGAAAAUGUAUUUAGCCUUUGUCAAUACUGCAAAUUAAGGAGAUGUAUUUAAUUAAGAUUUUUAAUGACUUUUUUUAAGUGACAGACUUUUAUAGAGUUUGUAAAUUUUAAUAACUUUUAAAGACUUUAAAGACUUUUUAAAAAUGACUUUUAUAGACUCCAUGAAAUAAGUGACAGAUUUUAAUAGACAUUUGUAUAUUUCUCAUAUAUCUUGUAGCUUAUAUUAAUUGUUAAUUAGCCCAUGUGUACAACCUCUCACUCUUUUUUCAUGAACUAGAGGAAAUCUCAUUAUUUCAUUAAAUUAUUAUGGCAUGAGAUUUUAUAUAUGUUGAAAGCAUUCAUACUAUUCUACUCAUUUCAUGAUAAAUUUGGAUACUCGAAUACGAAUAAAACUUUAGAAGCUACAAACUCAACACAAAAAUUAAGCUCACUUUUCAUUGAACUAUAUAUGCGUACAAUUUUUUAGUAGGAGUACCAAACUCUAUUUUUCACAAAAUAAUAUGACAAAGAAAUUCUAUAUGAUCGCAAAACUUCAUACAUGUGAGUAAAUUGACACCAAAUUUUAAAAAAUUUACCAGAUAGUUUUUUGUCGUCGGUAAGCCACAAACAAAAUUGUCAGAGAGAUUUAAUUUUUCUUAAAAUUAUUAAUAGUUGUUAGUGAACCAAAAUUGACCGUUAAAAAAAUAAUUAUGUGAUUUUUUAAUUUAUUUAUGAUGUUAGAAAUUAAUUAAUUAAAAUGCUACGUAACUAAUAUUUUAACAGUCGACCGUUGUCAUCUUUUAACUAAUUUUUUAAAUUUUGAUGAGUUUUAGAAUUUAUCAAGAUUCGUAUAUAUCAUAUACUAUAUCUAUAUAAUAUAAAAAAUAUAUAAUAUAAUAUUAAAAAUCAAAAUUUACUGUUUGAUUUUUCAAAGUCAUUACGAGAUAUUCCUAUAAUAAAAGUUUGUGUAAUUUAUCUAAUUUUUAAUAAAUUUAGUAAAAAAAAAUAUAAAUAGUUUAUAAUUUUAAUAAUUAUAUUUUAUAAAAUUAGAUUAAUUUAUAUUCAUUUUAAGUUAAAAUUUUACCGGAGAGUUUUGCGACUUUUGAAUUUUUCAUAAAAUCUCUCUGCAAUUUUUUUAUUGGCGAUUUGAAUUUUUACCUUUGUGUUUAAUAUUUAGAAGUCUUUAGAGAUGAGGUCAGACUUUGGAUAUGAGUUGAUAGUUAUAAUUUUUCUUCUAAAGUCUGUCAAACUCUAAUAUUUGAUAAAAAUCUGAAAAAUCAAUGACUUUUUGAAUACCAAAAUACUUUUAUAGACUUUAUAAAAGUCUCAAUUCAAUAUCACCUAACUUUUAAAUACAUUACAAAAGUUGUAAUUGAAUACAAGUAAACUUUUAUAAACUCUUUAAAUGUCUUGAUUGAAUAAAACCAAACUUUUAAAGUCUUUAAAAGUCUAAAUUGAAUAUGUUAACGACUGAUUUUGUACGCCUGACGAAAUCACCCAAAAGGACAUGCCAAAAUAGCGCCAACGGUUGAUGGAGUAAUUGUUGUGAAAUCAAAGUCAUGAAAUACACUCACAUAAACAUAAAUAAAGA
rnacentral:lncRNA from 1 species